GUUGUUGCUGUGUUCUUUGAGGAAAAUAUAAAGUAGUAGACAGGCCAAACAACGAUGAACCGGUAACCGUGGUGACGGGGCCGAGGGAGCUGGGACAAGACGCUCUCGCAGCCGAAGAAGCUUCCAUCGAGUUGAUGGUAGUCAACAACAACAACAACAACAACAACCACCAAUCCGGAAAAUCCUCCGAGGUUUAUUAAUGAUGAUUGUAUUCCUCUGGUUAGAAAAACUAAAUUCAGGAAAAUCUGUCACUUUGUCUUCCAAUGUCCCCAAACUAUAAUAUCUCCUCUGCAGGUGUCGCACCCACAUCUCAGGUAUUCAAGUGAUUUUAAAUCC